GAUGAACGCUGGCGGCGUGCCUAAUACAUGCAAGUCGAGCGAACGGACGAGACUCUUGCUUUUCUGAUGUUAGCGGCGGACGGGUGAGUAACACGUGUAUACCCUCCCUAUCUGACUGGGAUCACUUCGGGAAACCGGCGCUAAUCCCGGAUAAUCUUUUGCUCCGCAUGGUUCAAUAGUGAAAGACGGUCUUGCUGUCACUUCUCGCUGCAUCUCGGCUGCAUUAGCUAGUUGUUAAGGUAACGGCUUACCAAGGCAACGAUGCAUAGCCGAACUGAGAGGGGGAUAGGCCACACGAGAGCGUAGACACGGUCAAGAGGACUACGGGAGGCAGCAGUAGGGAAUCGGACGCAAUGGGCGAAAGCAUGACGGAGCAACGGCGAGUGAGAGAUGAAGGUCUUCGGAGCGGAAAACUCGGUUAUGAGGGAAGAACAGAUGUGGAAGUAACUGUGCACAGAGUGACGGUACCGAGUCAGAAAGCAACGGCUAACUACGUG
rnacentral:rRNA from 1 species